UACAGAGGGUGCAAGCGUUGCUCGGAAUCAUUGGGCGUAAAGGGCAAGUAGGUGGUCUUGUUUUGUCUGGGGUGAAAUCCUUGAGCUUAACUCAAGAAGUGCCCUAGAAACGGCAAGACUCGAGUCCUGGAGAGGGUGGUGGAAUUCCCGGUGUAGCGGUGAAAUGCGUAGAGAUCGGGAGGAACACCAGAGGCGAAGGCGGCCACCUGGACAGGUACUGACACUCAACUGCGAAAGCGUGGGGAGCAAACAGG
rnacentral:rRNA from 1 species